rnacentral:rRNA from 1 species
UGCAGUCGAACGGCAGCACAGAGGAGCUUGCUCCUUGGGUGGCGAGUGGCGGACGGGUGAGGAAUGCAUCGGAAUCUGCCUAUUUGUGGGGGAUAACGUAGGGAAACUUACGCUAAUACCGCAUACGUCCUACGGGAGAAAGUGGGGGACCUUCGGGCCUCACGCAGAUAGAUGAGCCGAUGCCGGAUUAGCUAGUUGGCGGGGUAAAGGCCCACCAAGGCGACGAUCCGUAGCUGGUCUGAGAGGAUGAUCAGCCAAACUGGAACUGAGACACGGUCCAGACUCCUACGGGAGGCAGCAGUGGGGAAUAUUGGACAAUGGGCGCAAGCCUGAUCCAGCCAUGCCGCGUGUGUGAAGAAGGCCUUCGGGUUGUAAAGCACUUUUGUCCGGAAAGAAAAGCGCUCGAUUAAUACUCGGGUGUUAUGACGGUACCGGAAGAAUAAGCACCGGCUAACUUCGUGCCAGCAGCCGCGGUAAUACGAAGGGUGCAAGCGUUACUCGGAAUUACUGGGCGUAAAGCGUGCGUAGGUGGUUUGUUAAGUCUGAUGUGAAAGCCCUGGGCUCAACCUGGGAACUGCAUUGGAAACUGGCUUACUAGAGUGCGGUAAGGGGUGUGGAAUUCCCGGUGUAGCAGUGAAAUGCGUAGAUUUCGGGAGGAACAUCUGUGGCGAAGGCGACACCCUGGACCAGCACUGACAC